AUGAACGCUGGCGGCGUGCCUAAUACAUGCAGGUCGAGCGAACAGACGAGGAGCUUGCUCCUCUGACGUUAGCGGCGGACGGGUGAGUAACACGUGGAUAACCUACCUAUAAGACUGGGAUAACUUCGGGAAACCGGAGCUAAUACCGGAUAAUAUAUUGAACCGCAUGGUUCAAUAGUGAAAGACGGUCUUGCUGUCACUUAUAGAUGGAUCCGCGCCGCAUUAGCUAGUUGGUAAGGUAACGGCUUACCAAGGCGACGAUGCGUAGCCGACCUGAGAGGGUGAUCGGCCACACUGGAACUGAGACACGGUCCAGACUCCUACGGGAGGCAGCAGUAGGGAAUCUUCCGCAAUGGGCGAAAGCCUGACGGAGCAACGCCGCGUGAGUGAUGAAGGUCUUCGGAUCGUAAAACUCUGUUAUUAGGGAAGAACAAAUGUGUAAGUAACUAUGCACGUCUUGACGGUACCUAAUCAGAAAGCCACGGCUAACUACGUG
rnacentral:rRNA from 1 species